rnacentral:rRNA from 1 species
CUACGGGAGGCAGCAGUGGGGAAUAUUGCACAAUGGGCGCAAGCCUGAUGCAGCCAUGCCGCGUGUAUGAAGAAGGCCUUCGGGUUGUAAAGUACUUUCAGCGGGGAGGAAGGGAGUAAAGUUAAUACCUUUGCUCAUUGACGUUACCCGCAGAAGAAGCACCGGCGAACUCCGUGCCAGCAGCCGCGGUAAUACGGAGGGUGCAAGCGUUAAUCGGAAUUACUGGGCGUAAAGCGCACGCAGGCGGUUUGUUAAGUCAGAUGUGAAAUCCCCGGGCUCAACCUGGGAACUGCAUCUGAUACUGGCAAGCUUGAGUCUCGUAGAGGGGGGUAGAAGUCCAGGUGUAGCGGUGAAAUGCGUAGAGAUCUGGAGGAAUACCGGUGGCGAAGGCGGCCCCCUGGACGAAGACUGACGCUCAGGUGCGAAAGCGUGGGGAGCAAACAGGAUUAGAUACCCGAGUAGUC